rnacentral:rRNA from 1 species
GGGUGCAAGCGUUAUCCGGAUUUACUGGGUUUAAAGGGUGCGCAGGCGGAUAUGUAAGUCAGUGGUGAAAUCUCUAGGCUUAACCUGGAAAUUGCCGUUGAUACUAUAUAUCUUGAAUGCUGUGGAGGUAAGCGGAAUAUGUCAUGUAGCGGUGAAAUGCUUAGAUAUGACAUAGAACACCUAUUGCGAAGGCAGCUUACUACGCAGAUAUUGACGCUCAUGCACGAAAGCGUGGGGAUCAAACAGG